UCCGUCGCGAGGCGGAAUCUGAAGAAAGCUGAAGGCAAACUCCUGGCCCGACGAAUAGGAAUCGCCUAUGAGGCGGCCAGAUAUGCGUGCGAGAGCAAUGAGACUCGAAGCCCAAUAGCUACCCGGUAUUUGACGACGUCGUGCAUUGGCAUCAGGUCGCCAAA
rnacentral:ncRNA from 1 species